GACGAACGCUGGCGGCGUGCUUAACACAUGCAAGUCGAACGGAAAGGCCCUGCUUUUGUGGGGUGCUCGAGUGGCGAACGGGUGAGUAACACGUGAGUAACCUGCCCUUGACUUUGGGAUAACUUCAGGAAACUGGGGCUAAUACCGGAUAGGAGCUCCUGCUGCAUGGUGGGGGUUGGAAAGUUUCGGCGGUUGGGGAUGGACUCGCGGCUUAUCAGCUUGUUGGUGGGGUAGUGGCUUACCAAGGCUUUGACGGGUAGCCGGCCUGAGAGGGUGACCGGCCACAUUGGGACUGAGAUACGGCCCAGAAGCCUACGGGAGGCAGCAGUGGGGAAUAUUGCACAAUGGGCGGACGCCUGAUGCAGCAACGCCGCGUGCGGGAUGACGGCCUUCGGGUUGUAAACCGCUUUCGCCUGUGACGAAGCGUGAGUGACGGUAAUGGGUAAAGAAGCACCGGCUAACUACGUG
rnacentral:rRNA from 1 species